GGAGUGAGGGAACUUAGUUCUUUCUAUUGGAUCUGUCACCCCAUUAAUCGCCAGGGUUGAUUCGGCUGAUCUGGCUGGCUAGGCAGGUGUCCCCUUCCUCCCUUACUGCUCCAUGUGCAUCUCUCCCGAAGCUGCACACUCAGUCAAAGAGGACGGCCUUCCCCGAAUAGAGACGGACUGGUCUUUGGCGAAGGGUAUACGAGUAGCUGCGCUCCCCUGCUAGAACCUCCAAACAAGCUACUUAGUUCUUUCUAAGUACAAGCAACUUUGAACUUUUACAUCAAUACAGUGAAAUUAUAUAUAGUUCAAUUGUGAGAAUUU
rfam:Erinaceus europaeus unplaced genomic scaffold scaffold00232, whole genome shotgun sequence